rnacentral:tRNA from 1 species
CGGACUUGAAAUCCGUUGGCAAKGGAACGGACUUGAAAUCCGUUGGCAAUAUGCCUACGCUGGUUCAAAUCCAGCUGGACCCA